UGAGAGAAUGAAAGGGUCUACUGAGC
rnacentral:piRNA from 1 species